rnacentral:rRNA from 1 species
CAGAGGGUGCAAACGUUGUUCGGAAUUACUGGGCGUAAAGCGCGUGUAGGCGGCCCUGCAAGUCGGGUGUGAAAUCCCACGGCUCAACCGUGGAAGUGCACUCGAAACUGCAGGGCUAGAGUCCUGGAGAGGAAGGUGGAAUGCUUGGUGUAGAGGUGAAAUUCGUAGAUAUCAAGCGGAACACCGGUGGCGAAGGCGGCCUUCUGGAUAGUGACUGACGCUGAGACGCGAAAGCGUGGGGAGCAAACAGGAUUAGAUACCCUGGUAGUCCACGCCGUAAACGAUGAGUGCUAGGUGUCACGGGCUUUGACCCUCGUGGUGCCGAAGCUAACGCGUUAAGCACUCCGCCUGGGGAGUACGGUCGCAAGACUA